AUCAGCUUUUAGCACCGGGAAGCGCGUGCUUACUCCAUGGAGAGCUUCUAUGUCUACAAAGACAGUUGAGGCAUUGAUCUGUACACAAAGCUAUUUACAAAAACCCAUUGCUCUUGAUCUUCUAUGUGAUUAUGUACCUGAUGAUGAUGGUGAAGAUGCGGCAGUCAUAAUUGAGAAUUUCCUAAAAGCUUGAAGUUUAUUUCUUGGCUCCUUGCUAAGAAAUGGAAGGCUAGGAUUGCAAAUUGCAAGUGCAGGCUUUGCAACCAUCCAUUUUCGUUUGCAAUGAUCACAUUUCAUU